GCAAGUCCAACGCAAUUCUAAAGAUGAAGAGAUUGUAGUGACCACUUAUGAAGGAAUGCAUACGCAUCCAACUGAGACAUGUACUGAUAACUUUGAAGAAAUAAUCCUCAGGCAGAUGCAAACUUAUAGGCUCCUUUCUAAUACUCACGUAUGAAUUACAACUGGGGAAUAAAUUAAUAAUCUUCCACGUACAGUAGGAACAUGUAUUUUAAUUAAUUCUCUGUGGCAGGGAAGGAUGCACUGGGGAGG
rnacentral:misc_RNA from 1 species